rnacentral:rRNA from 1 species
AGAGCGAACGCUGGCGGCAGGCCUAAUACAUGCAAGUCGAGCGCACCUUCGGGUGAGCGGCGGACGGGUGAGUAACGCGUGGGAACGUGCCCUUUGGUACGGGAUAACUCAGGGAAACUUGAGCUAAUACCGUAUGUGCCCUUCGGGGGAAAGAUUUAUCGCCAUUGGAGCGGCCCGCGUUGGAUUAGGUAGUUGGUGGGGUAAAGGCCCACCAAGCCUACGAUCCAUAGCUGGUCUGAGAGGAUGAUCAGCCACACUGGGACUGAGACACGGCCCAGACUCCUACGGGAGGCAGCAGUAGGGAAUCUUGCGCAAUGGGCGAAAGCCUGACGCAGCCAUGCCGCGUGAAUGAUGAAGGUCUUAGGAUUGUAAAUUCUUUCGACGGGAAGAUAAUGACGGUACCGGAGAAGAAGACCCGGCUAACUCGUGCCAGCAGCCGC